rnacentral:rRNA from 1 species
AAGCCUUGACAUCCCCCUGAAUAGAGGGUAAUGCCUUUAGUCCUUCGGGACAGGGGAGAC